rnacentral:lncRNA from 1 species
CGGGGCCUGGCGCGUCCGCCGAGCGCGGGGGUUUGUUUAUUUUCCCGGUUGGUAGCGGCGCUGGCGCUGGUUAGAGGUUCGCCGGUGACGUGAGCGCCCGAGUUGGGGGAGAGGACCAGAACCACCUGCUGGAGAAAGGGAGCUACGGGGGCCGGGCAGGGUCCAAACGCCUCACGUGGGCGGCGGCGCCACGGUCUUCGGGGUCACAGGGAAGAGAAGGGCUCUCCUCAAGCGGGUGGAAGGAGGGAGGCCUCCCGAGGGAAUGAGACUCCAGGCCACUCCCCCGCAGCAAGGCAGGAUCACCUGCGUCGCGGAGAGCAGUUAGAGGUCCCUGGAGUGGAAAAGGGCAGUGGGACCUGGUAGCUUGGGUUCCCUGCAACUUGGGGUUCGACCUCCAGGCAAUGAAGUAGGGAUGGUCCUGCAAGUCAAGAUUCCAGUAGCAAGAGUGCAUCAGAUCUCUGUAAGGAAAAUAACUAACAUUGCUCAGUUCCCUGUAGAGUUGCAGGGCGCUUUGACGUUAUCUCCCUUGGUUCUCCAUCAGGUCGUAGUGGACUAAUUUUACAGGCGAAGUUAAGUGACUUACCCAAAACCUCACAGCUAAUAAACGGCAGAGCCGGCACCCAGCUGUACUGGCUUCCAGCGCAUCCCAUUAUCUCCAUAAAUCCCCCUGAUUCAACUAAUAUUAGACGCCCCACAGGUAAGAUGCUUCAGAGUUAGAGGGGAGUUGAAGAUACCUUUGCCUUCAAAGAAGUAAGGAAUGAAACAAAGAUAAAACAGACAAUAAAAGACAAACCAUGAUAGGUGCCACGUGAAAAGUGGCAGAGUACUGCCGGGAAUCAAAGAACCGUGUAUAUCUGUCUUGGGGAUAAGGAAAGAAACGCAGCAUGAAGGAGUAGGCAUUUGGGAUUGACCUUGAAGGAGACAGGGAGAGUUUUACAGCAAGAAGGGAUAGCAUGAGAAUAUAUAUGAAGGCGAAUCAGUGAAAGUUGUGUUGGGGAAAGAGCAAAGACUCCAGGUAUGUUGAGAGGUAGAAAAGACAAAGGAGUAUGGGGCCUAAGAUACCAAAUGGAUGAAUUUAUAUUUAAUUCAGUAUUUUGAGUUUUUAUGGUUCAGAAGUUUGGGGGAAGAAAAGGAAGGUUUUUUUUUUCUUUAUGCUAGUGAUUUAUCUGUGAAGGGAAGCAGAAAUCAGAGGUGGAAAAACUGACAGAUCUACUGUAGGCCAGGUAAAAGGUAAUGAUGAGUCUGACCUAAAGGGACAGCCAGGGGAAUUUAAAGAGCAUAGUUGAGAGAUGAUGUGCAUGCAGAAUCUAUAGAAUUUGCUAACUGAUUGAUUAAUUGUGGGUAGGAAGAGAGAAAUCAAAGAAAGUGGAGGUUUUGAGUUUCUAGAUAAUUGCAAGAGAGAAAAGAGACAAUUACAAAGGAAAGGAGAAGGAGCUACUUCUUGAGAGAAGAUCAGUUUAGAUUUAGACAUUUUAAGAAUUCAAAGGGUUGUCAAGACAGCCAGACGGACAUGGACACUAAUAAGUUAGAAAUAAAGGUUUUGUAAUAUGGGAAAGAGGACUGAGCUAGAAAAUAGACUCAUAGAUAAUCAGCCUAGGAGUGAUAUUGCUGUGAGAUAAAAGAAGAAAACAAAGUCAGAAUCUUGGAAAACACCCUCUUCAGAGUCUCGCUGCUCAAAACGUGGUCAGUGGCCCAGCAGCACUGACAUGAGGACCUUAGUUGGAAACUCAGAAUCUCAGGCUCCACCCCAGACCUGCUGAACCAGCAUCUUCAACUUAACAAGAACCCGAAGAGAUUUGUGCCACAUCAAAAAGUUUGAGAAGCUCUGAUCUAGGUGAGCCAAGCCAGCAAAGAAAGGGGGUGGAGCAGAAAAUGGGAGGAGAAUAGGGUAAUGCAGAAUCAUCAAGACAAGGUAAAUUGGACUUUCACAAAAACGGGGCUGGAAGGAGUGUUGCUCAACAAUAUCCAAAACCACAGAGGUUGAAAAGCACAAGGAAAGAAGGUAUGUUUGCACUUUGUGAUUAGGUAGUAGGGUCUUUAAGACCACAUUGUUCUCAUUGAAAGCCUGGGAAGAAAGAUCCCCUUUCUGGUCAAGGUUAGUCUAGGGAUCCAUCCCCUCUUCCCCAGUUCCCACGUAUAUGGGACAUGUCGAGAUAAGUAGAUAGAUUGGACAGUGGGAGAAAGUAGUUCUCUUCCAGUUGCUUCUAUUUUCUCAGCAAAGUGAGGAACAAGAUCAUUUUGGCAGACUGCUAAUUGUCCAUCAUAAUUUAGUCUCCCCUUCUCCCUGAAAACACAGACUGCUUUUCUCAGCCUCUCUUUCAGUUGCAUAUGGUCAAGUAUUAAGUUAUAGAACAUGAGCAGAUGUUAUGUCUGCCACUGUCAGGCCAAGGCGUUUACUUUGAGAGUACUUGUGCCUCUUUCAUACAUUUUCCUUUCUGCCAGCUGGACCCUGGACACGGUGACUCUGAUUCAAUUAUGCAGAUGACCACAAGCCUCUGGGGUUGGCAGAGCCACAAGAAAGAAGGUGCCUGGAUGAAGGAGAGCUACCCACUGACCUGGACACCCAAUUAUGUCAUAGGUGCUGCAAUCUAGAGACAAAAUAUUCCUUACACUGCCAGAUACUUGCAAACUAAGGGGAACGAGCUUCCCUCUGAAUGUUUAUGAAGGAGAGACCACUGUGAGGAUAGACAGUGAAGUGCAACUACAGCCCGCAAAUGAAAAUGAAUAAAAUUAAUCCAGCCCCUCAAGGCAGGCA